AUUGAACGCUGGCGGCAGGCCUAACACAUGCAAGUCGAGCGGAUGAAGGGAGCUUGCUCCUGGAUUCAGCGGCGGACGGGUGAGUAAUGCCUAGGAAUCUGCCUGGUAGUGGGGGAUAACGUCCGGAAACGGGCGCUAAUACCGCAUACAUCCUGAGGGAGAGAGUGGGGGAUCUUCGGACCUCACGCUAUCAGAUGAGCCUAGGUCGGAUUAGCUAGUUGGUGGGGUAAAGGCCUACCAAGGCGACGAUCCGUAACUGGUCUGAGAGGAUGAUCAGUCACACUGGAACUGAGACACGGUCCAGACUCCUACGGGAGGCAGCAGUGGGGAAUAUUGGACAAUGGGCGAAAGCCUGAUCCAGCCAUGCCGCGUGUGUGAAGAAGGUCUUCGGAUUGUAAAGCACUUUAAGUUGGGAGGAAGGGCAGUAAGUUAAUACCUUGCUGUUUUGACGUUACCAACAGAAUAAGCACCGGCUAACUUCGUG
rnacentral:rRNA from 1 species